GAACGGGAAUACGCCACGAAUAAAUUCAUUACUAAGGACAAACGGAGGCGGAUAUCAGCCACGACGAAUCUCUCUGAGCGGCAGGUCACAAUCUGGUUCCAGAACAGGAGGGUUAAAGAGAAAAAAGUCAUCAACAAACUGAAAACCACUAGUUAAUGGAUUAAAAAUAGAGCAAGAAGGCAACUUGAAGAAACGCUUCAGAACUCGUUGCUUUGCCCAGAUAAUGAUAAUAAUGCUUAAUAAUAAUUGAAGAAUGGGAAAGAGAAAGAGACAGAGACUGGCAUUUUCCUCUCCCGAAGGAGAUCUCUUUCUCUUUAAUGGAAUCUACAACUGUUUUAAAACUUUAAGAAAGGUAAAGACUGCCAGUUCUUCCGCCAACCCCAUCAGCCCAGCCCGUUAAAUGUCAAACGUCAACCCCCAAAAUACGCAAUUUCAGAUAAGUUACGCAGUUACUGAAAUCUUGUAAGUAUUUAAGUGAUCGUUACAUUUUAGGACACUGCGUUAGAUGGUAAUAAUCUGGAAGUUGGUUACAAACGCAAGAGGCCAUUGUAAACAUCUGCUUGUCCUUCUUAGGUCGCCAUUCCCUUUGCAUGUUAAGCGUCUGCUCAGGUAAAUCUUAGUGAAAUUCCUACCGUUGUUGUACGUUCUGCAAAACAUUUUAUGUAUAGAUUUAGAGGGGAAACGAGAAGGUACUGAAAUAAUGAUCUUGGAAUAUUUGCUGUGAAGGGAGAAAGGGAGAGAAAACUCUUCUGAGGAUCAUUUGUCUUGGUAGUAUAGUAAAACCAACCAGCUGAACCUUUCAGGCUACAAGAGAACCCGGGUCGGUAAUGUCUUUUUAAGAAUAAUUUUUAAUUGCUUAUAACAAGCAUAUUUUGUGGCAUUUGAACUAUAUUUACUGCUCCAAUAUCCGUUAUUUUCCAAAGGAUUUUGUAUCUUUUUGAAAAUGUUUACAUCAUCAGAUGAUCCACAGAAUUCACUUUAUGUGAGAUCUCCCGAGAGUUUCCAUCCCAACAUGAUGGACUUUGGUUUGAACACAAUUCGUUUUUUCAUUUGAAUUGGCAUUUCCCAAUAUUUGCUAAACAUUUGCUGGAGAAAUCAUUUUUCUUUUUUCUUUUUUAGAAAACUCAGAAUGAAAAUUCAUUCCCCUGAAAUAUUUAGGUGUCUAUAUUCUAUAUUUUGAUCUAUUAAGGGAUUAGUAUUUUUCCAUGUUUAUUGUGUUAUCAGAGUGCAUUAGAAAGAUUAGUGAUUCAUCUUCACAGCACAUUUUUAAUCAAGCAGUUAUUUCAACCAGCACAUUCGUUUUGUUCAUAUUCACUAUAGAAUGAUAUCUUGUAAAUAAAGACAUUCAGCACACUGUGAAAAUGUAUUUGUGCACCUGCUUUUUAAAUAUUUCUACUAAAAAUGAAAAAAAAAAACCCUUAGACCUGUAGAUAGUGAUAUCGUAAUAUUAAUUGUUAAUAAAAUAGUCACUGCC
rnacentral:lncRNA from 1 species